AUUGAAACAUCAGUUCCAGUAUGAUCACCAAAGUUAAGCAAUGUUGAACCUGGUCAGUACCUAGAUGGGUGAGCACUGGGAAAUAACAGGUGCUGUAAG
rnacentral:rRNA from 1 species